ACUUUGCUUCAAAUCUCCCUUUUGGGAUAAAAAGAGGGCUGCUCCAAGGCCAUGGAUCGAGGACUAAGCAAGUUCAGUUCACAGUUUUGAAUGUUCCUGCUCAGGAUAUGCUAAAGGAACACACCAGUUGCAGAAAAGACUCCAGAAUAUCACCAAAAAGAGGAUUGGGCAAUUUCAAGUUUUUGAUGAACCAUCAUUCCAGCUUCCAAAUCUCCUGUGAGGACAAGGAUCUCUGAGCUGCCACCUCCUGAUCCAGUUCACCCUCUGCCUGCUGGAUGCACACUGCUGAACUGGAGGCUGACUUAGCCCUACUGGAGGUGAAGCAAAGCCUGAUCUGUGGAAGCCCGGGAAUGGCAGUGCAGCACCUGCUCAGGUGUCACCUGUGUGACACUGUCAGGACUCCUCCCAGCUGCCAGCGAGGGACAGGAGGGGCAGUUUGCAUAGCCUGAGAGCUGAAGCUUCCAGAGACAAGUUGGAGGUAGGAGCAUCUGGAGCUUUCAUGAGAGAGGCAUCCAAGCUCCUGAAGAGAGCCUAAAGAAAAUGUACUUACCUAAACUCCUUCAGUCUUGUUUUUUAAGAGAUUUCUUCUUUAUAUUAAAAGUGAGUUUACCACCUCUUCCUAUGAACCCAGCCUUCCAAGACAUAGAAACCUUCCAGAGUCUUGGUGUUGUCCCAGGGUGUGAUGUUGGCUUUGAACAGCAUUUCUCAGCUUUUUUUCCCCCCCUUGCUUUACUCCCUGAUCUUUCCCUUGCUUUACUCAAGGGGAAAGAUCUCUCCAGCUCCCUUUCAUGACAGGGCUUCUCUGAUGCAAAAGUCUAAAGUGAUGAUUUUUUUUUAAUUCUGGCAGUAAUCCUGCAGAUAACACCACUCUUAAUUUGCACUAGAGUAGAAGUUGCCAAAGCUCUGGGGAAAGAAAAAAAAAAGGAGAAAAACAAAGGCAGCUGACUGCAUGCUAACUUUGGAAGUUAAAAACUCUGAUUUGUACUUUGGGUGUGUUCCAGAUUUAUCAAAGCCAUGCCUUCAUUCUAGUAAUAAGUUCCACUAAAAACUAAACUCCUCUCUAUAAAACUGAAUUUUUACUUCCUAAUGUAACAGUAACAGCAGCCUUUCUGAAAAGAUAGUUUCUGUUAGUGAUGAGUUAAAAAUUAAAAUUCAAACCUUAUCCUGCAAGAGGGAGCAGUUUCACCUAUUUUUAGACUGUUUAUGAUAACAUGGAGGAGGAGUAGUGCAAAAUCACCCAACAAAACAUCAGAUUAAGAUGCCCUAGUGAUUAAAAAUUUUAGGAUGCCAGUGCUCCCUACCUUGUGUGCCUGCUCUGGUCUGGAAGCAGCAAAAGCCCUUG